rnacentral:rRNA from 1 species
GACGGGGGGUGCAAGCGUUGUUCGGAAUCAUUGGGCGUAAAGCGUGUGCAGGUGGCUUUAUAAGUCAGAUGUGAAAGCCCCGAGCUUAACUCGGGAAGUGCAUUUGAAACUGUAAAGCUUGAGUAUGGAAGAGGGUCGUGGAAUUCCAGGUGUAGUGGUGAAAUACGUAGAUAUCUGGAGGAACACCGGUGGCGAAGGCGGCGACCUGGUCCAAUACUGACACUCAUACACGAAAGCGUGGGGAUCAAACAGG